GAUGAACGCUGGCGGCGUGCCUAAUACAUGCAAGUCGAGCGAACAGAUGAGGAGCUUGCUCCUCUGACGUUAGCGGCGGACGGGUGAGUAACACGUGGAUAACCUACCUAUAAGACUGGGAUAACUUCGGGAACCGGAGCUAAUACCGGAUAAUAUAUUGAACCGCAUGGUUCAAUAGUGAAAGACGGUUUUGCUGUCACUUAUAGAUGGAUCCGCGCCGCAUUAGCUAGUUGGUAAGGUAACGGCUUACCAAGGCAACGAUGCGUAGCCGACCUGAGAGGGUGAUCGGCCACACUGGAACUGAGACACGGUCCAGACUCCUACGGGAGGCAGCAGUAGGGAAUCUUCCGCAAUGGGCGAAAGCCUGACGGAGCAACGCCGCGUGAGUGAUGAAGGUCUUCGGAUCGUAAAACUCUGUUAUUAGGGAAGAACAAAUGUGUAAGUAACUAUGCACGUCUUGACGGUACCUAAUCAGAAAGCCACGGCUAACUACGUG
rnacentral:rRNA from 1 species